UACGUAGGCAGCGAGCGUUGUUCGGAGUUACUGGGCGUAAAGGGUGUGUAGGCGGUUAUUUAAGUUUGGUGUGAAAUCUCCCGGCUCAACCGGGAGGGUGCGCCGAAUACUGAAUGACUUCGAGUGCGGGAGAGGAGAGUGGAAUUCCUGGUGUAGCGGUGAAAUGCGUAGAUAUCAGGAGGAACACCGGUGGUGUAGACGGCUCUCUGGACCGUAACUGACGCUGAGACACGAAAGCGUGGGUAGCAAGCAGG
rnacentral:rRNA from 1 species